rnacentral:rRNA from 1 species
UACGUAGGGGCUAGCGUUAUCCGGAAUUACUGGGCGUAAAGGGUGCGUAGGUGGUUUCUUAAGUCAGAGGUGAAAGGCUACGGCUCAACCGUAGUAAGCCUUUGAAACUGGGAAACUUGAGUGCAGGAGAGGAGAGUGGAAUUCCUAGUGUAGCGGUGGAAUGCGCAGAGAUCAGGAGGAAUACCGAAGGCGAAGGCAGUCUUCCAAGCCGUUAUUGACGCUCAACUGCGAAGGUGUGGGUAUCAAACAGGAUUAGAUACCCUGGUAGUCCCUGAG